rnacentral:rRNA from 1 species
UACGUAGGGUGCGAGCGUUAAUCGGAAUUACUGGGCGUAAAGCGUGCGCAGGCGGUUUUGUAAGCCAGAUGUGAAAGCCCCGGGCUCAACCUGGGAAUGGCAUUUGGGACUGCAAGGCUUGAGUGCGGCAGAGGAGACUGGAAUUCCUGGUGUAGCAGUGAAAUGCGUAGAUAUCAAGAGGAACACCUGCGGCGAAGGCGGGUUGCUGGGCCGACACUGACGCUGAGGCGCGAAAGCUAGGGGAGCGAACGGG